GACGAACGCUGGCGGCGUGCUUAACACAUGCAAGUCGAACGGAAAGGCCCUGCUUUUGUGGGGUGCUCGAGUGGCGAACGGGUGAGUAACACGUGAGUAACCUGCCCUUGACUUUGGGAUAACUUCAGGAAACUGGGGCUAAUACCGGAUAGGAGCUCCUGCUGCAUGGUGGGGGUUGGAAAGUUUCGGCGGUUGGGGAUGGACUCGCGGCUUAUCAGCUUGUUGGUGGGGUAGUGGCUUACCAAGGCUUUGACGGGUAGCCGGCCUGAGAGGGUGACCGGCCACAUUGGGACUGAGAUACGGCCCAGACUCCUACGGGAGGCAGCAGUGGGGAAUAUUGCACAAUGGGCGGAAGCCUGAUGCAGCAACGCCGCGUGCGGGAUGACGGCCUUCGGGUUGUAAACCGCUUUCGCCUGUGACGAAGCGUGAGUGACGGUAAUGGGUAAAGAAGCACCGGCUAACUACGUGCCAGCAGCCGCGGUGAUACGUAGGGUGCGAGCGUUGUCCGGAUUUAUUGGGCGUAAAGGGCUCGUAGGUGGUUGAUCGCGUCGGAAGUGUAAUCUUGGGGCUUAACCCUGAGCGUGCUUUCGAUACGGGUUGACUUGAGGAAGGUAGGGGAGAAUGGAAUUCCUGGUGGAGCGGUGGAAUGCGCAGAUAUCAGGAGGAACACCAGUGGCGAAGGCGGUUCUCUGGGCCUUUCCUGACGCUGAGGAGCGAAAGCGUGGGGAGCGAACAGGCUUAGAUACCCUGGUAGUCCACGCUGUAAACGGUGGGUACUAGGUGUGGGGUCCAUUCCACGGGUUCCGUGCCGUAGCUAACGCUUUAAGUACCCCGCCUGGGGAGUACGGCCGCAAGGCUAAAACUCAAAGGAAUUGACGGGGCCCCGCACAAGCGGCGGAGCAUGCGGAUUAAUUCGAUGCAACGCGUAGAACCUUACCUGGGUUUGACAUGGAUCGGGAGUGCUCAGAGAUGGGUGUGCCUCUUUUGGGGUCGGUUCACAGGUGGUGCAUGCCUGUCGUCAGCUCGUGUCGUGAGAUGUUGGGUUAAGUCCCGCAACGAGCGCAACCCUUGUUCACUGUUGCCAGCACGUUAUGGUGGGGACUCAGUGGAGACCGCCGGGGUCAACUCGGAGGAAGGUGGGGAUGACGUCAAGUCCUCAUGCCCCUUAUGUCCAGGGCUUCACGCAUGCUACAAUGGCUGGUACAGAGAGUGGCGAGCCUGUGAGGGUGAGCGAAUCUCGGGAAGCCGGUCUCAGUUCGGAUUGGGGUCUGCAACUCGACCUCAUGAAGUCGGAGUCGCUAGUAAUCGCAGAUCAGCAACGCUGCGGUGAAUACGUUCCCGGG
rnacentral:rRNA from 1 species